CAAUAGCGUAUAUUUAAGUUGCUGCAGUUAAAAAGCUCGUAGUUGGAUUUCGGGUGGGAAUGGCCGGUCCGCCGUUUCGGUGUGCACUUGCUACGCCCACCUUGCUGCCGGGGACGUGCUCUUGAGUUCACGCUCGGGACACGGAGUCGGCGAGGUUACUUUGAGUAUAUUAGAGUGUUCAAAGCAGGCCUACGCUCUGAAUACAUUAGCAUGGAAUAACACGAUAGGACUCUGGCCUAUCUUGUUGGUCUGUAGGACCGGAGUAAUGAUUAAGAGGGACAGUCGGGGGCAUUCGUAUUUCAUUGUCAGAGGUGAAAUUCUUGGAUUUAUGAAAGACGAACUACUGCGAAAGCAUUUGCCAAGGAUGUUUUCAUUAA
rnacentral:rRNA from 1 species